UUUAUUUGGAUCCGUACUGUGGUGGGUUCGAACUGCAGGAUGAAGUCAACAUGUCACAUUCGUAUUCUAAGUUAAAAGGGUUGUUAUUAUUCUAGAGAAACGCAGCGCGAGCUCGAUGACUCCUUGUCUUGUUUGGGAUCCGAUUUAAGCCUCACUCGUUAAGAAGAUGGACAGCUAUGGGUUCUCCAGUGACAUGUUCAGUGGUCGAGCGGUUCUGGGGGAGGACAGCUCGGUCAUGGCCCGGGUGCAGAAGAAGUUCUGGAAGACCAAGCAGGUUCUGAUCAAGGCCACAGGGAAGAAAGAAGAUGAGCACGUGGUGGCAUCUGACGCAGAUCUUGAUGCCAAAUUGGAGUUUUUCCGUUCAGUCCAGAGCACUUGCACAGAUCUCCUGAAAGUGAUCGAGAAAUACCAGCAAAGAAUCACACACCUCUCUCAAGAGGAGAAUGAGCUCGGACUGUUCUUGCGCUUCCAGGCAGAGCAUGAUAAAACAAAAGCAGGCAGUAUGAUGGACGCCACCAGUAAAGCUCUCUGCUGUUCUGCCAAGCAAAGGUUGGCUCUGUGUCCCUCUCUCCAUCGUUUCGAACAGGAAGUAGAGACGUUCCGGAGGAGAGCCAUCGCUGACUCCCUGCUGACUGUGAGCCGGAUGGAGAAAGCACGGACUGAGUACCGCGGAGCUCUGCUCUGGAUGAAGGAUGUCUCACAGGAACUGGACCCAGAUACUUAUAAACAACUGGAGAAAUUUCGCAAGGUUCAGGCCCAGGUUAGAGGAACAAAAGCACAUUUUGAUAAGCUUAAGAAUGACGUGUGUCAGAAAGUGGAUAUGCUGGGUGUCAGUCGCUGCAACAUGCUUUCACAUUCUUUAUGUACUUACCAGACAACGCUUUUACAGUACUGGGAGAAGACUGCACACGUGAUGUCUGGCAUCCAUGAGGCCUUCAAAGGAUAUGUACCCUACCAGUUCACUACCCUCAAAGAAUUGAGGGACCCAUUGGACCAGAUUGUCUCUGCAGAAGCAGCAGAGGACAGCAAAGAUGAGGACAAGACGCAUCCAGACAAUCUUGUUUUUCUUGAAGAUGAGCCGCUGGAUGAAUCAUCUGAUACUGUUUCUACUCGUGCAGUAGAUGGACAGAGUAGAGGAUCAGACAGUUCUUUGUGUGCUAGUCUGGACUCUGCGUUGAAUGAACAAUUAGGGCCCAUUGGAGUUAGCACAGAUGACGACCUCCUAUUAUUGACCUCUGAGCCUGGUCCGAUCCCUUCUCUCACUCCAACCUUGACCCCGACCCUACUCUCAUCCAUGUCCGUUAUGCAGCCUCAGAUACCGCAGGAGACCUCGGUGCCUCCUGCUUUUCAGUGGGCCGUAGGCGUCUCACAUGAGGAAAAGCAAGUAGGCAGGGAUCUGUUGUCUGAGGCUUUAGACUCUGCCGGGGUGAAAGCAGAGGAUGGAGAUAGAGGUGACCUGGCCUUCCUGCAGGAUCUGCUGAGUCCUGGGGCUGCCGGUGGAGCUAGUGAUUUCAGUAAGGCAUGGCAGGAUGCUUUUGGCUGUUUUGAGGCCCCUCUUGCUCCUGUUGCUGCCGCUUCACCACAAGCAGGAACGGCAAACAUACCCACUGGCUUCCUGCCAUCACAACUCCUCGACCAUAGCCUCAGUACCACAGGAUGGGAGACUCCACCCAUGUUUCAACCCCUGCCGCUCCAGCCACCUUCCAGUGAAGGACAGUCCAUCCAGAAUAGUCCAAACUCUUCUGCCAGUGGUGGGAGUUGUAUAUGACAUGUUAUAAAUUACACAUCGAUAUGGACAAUCUCAGAUGCUCUUUUUCUGCUGUUUCUGUUGUGAUUCGUCUCUCUGUGUCUUUUUAGCACCUAAAGGAAGGUCCAGGGACAUGUCUGCCUGGUUUAACCUCUUUGCAGAUCUGGACCCUCUGUCCAACCCAGAUGCUAUUGGGCGCAGUGAUCAGGAGUUCCUCAAUGCCUGAGCCUUUUUCCUGUCUGAGUGAAGGAUGGUAUGGAGCUGAUCACUUCCCAAAUAUUCUUUGCUGGAAAGGAGUGCAUAUCCCAAGCCUUCAUUCGGAGCUGGUGCACUACCUCUCCUGAAACCAUUCAACCUGAGCCAAGGAAGCAUCCAGAAAUCUCUAUCCACAUUUAACACUGGAAGGUUUCUGAUAUAUGGGAAUGUGUCUCUUUCUCUAUUCUUUCAUUGUGUGUGUGAACUUACUGUAUGUUCAUUAGGUCAGGACACUGAAGGGUAAAAUAUUGAAGACUUCUUCUCUGUAUCACCAUAGUGUUGUUCCCUGAGAGUAAAGUAUCUGUUACUUUCUAAAGUGCACAUGUUUAAAGGGAUGUGAAGGUGAGAGUUUGCCCAUCUCAUAUGUGUGUGUGUGUGUGUGUGGUGGGGGGGGGGCUGUUUUGCCUAGGACCAAAAAUAGAAAUAAACCUGGGUAUGUGUGUGUGUGUAUCUGUAUGCUUUGUACAACAGGGGAGUUUUAAAGUCCAGAAACGGGGUUACAGAUUUAUAACAUCUAUUAUAGAUUAUAGACUGUAUUUUUAAUCAAGACUGAUACCCAAAAUGUGUGCUUGUAAAUAACAAAAAAUAUUUUUGGAGUCUCUUUCACUGGAUUAGUUUAACCCUAAACGAUAAAACAAAUGAAAUAAUUUAUCAAUAUAAUAAAAGUGUUACUGUAAACUACAUAUGCAAGUCGUGUGUUGUGCCAUUAGUUUGGUUGGAAUGAGGUCGUCACAUUUUAAUGAAACUAAUCGAAGAUGAUUUUGUUUUAGUGCAAAAAAUGCUGAAAGGCUCUCACUCAGAGAAAUAACUUCUCCCAAAUGAUCUUCACUGUCACACGGUGAUGCAAAACACUGGAAUGUGUUUGUGAACGUGUUUUUGUGUGUGGUUUUAUUUCAUAUGUCACCAUUAGUACAGAAUUACAUAAUUAUCCUGCUUUUGAAAACGUUUAGUUUUUUUUCCCCAGAUUAUCAUGUUUGGACUCAUUUGUGAGUGACUAUGAAAUUAUUUU